ACGAACGCUGGCGGCGUGCUUCACACAUGCAAGUCGCACGGUGAAGCUCCAGCUUGCUGGAGUGGAUCAGUGGCGAACGGGUGAGUAACACGUGAGCAACCUGCCCCUGACUCUGGAAUAAGCGCUGGAAACGGCGUCUAAUACUGGAUACGAGAAGGGUCCGCAUGGGCACUUUCUGGAAAGUUUUUCGGUUGGGGAUGGGCUCGCGGCCUAUCAGCUUGUUGGUGAGGUAAUGGCUCACCAAGGCGACGACGGGUAGCCGGCCUGAGAGGGCGACCGGCCACACUGGGACUGAGACACGGCCCAGACUCCUACGGGAGGCAGCAGUGGGGAAUAUUGCACAAUGGGCGAAAGCCUGAUGCAGCGACGCCGCGUGAGGGAUGACGGCCUUCGGGUUGUAAACCUCUUUCAGCAGGGAAGAAGCGAAAGUGACGGUACCUGCAGAAGAAGCACCGGCUAACUACGUG
rnacentral:rRNA from 1 species